rnacentral:lncRNA from 10 species
CCUGGUCCAGCCACAAGCCCAGCAGGGAGCCUACCCCUGUGCCAGCUUUUGGAACAGCUGGCUGGACCCCACACUUGCUUGCUCACACACCCCUUCCCACCAGGGGCUAAGCAUGCAGUUGUGGUGGCCAUGGGAUCCACGGAGUGCAAGCCAGACACAGCCUGGUGGGCCAAGCUGGUCUUGAACUCCUGACCUCAGGUGAUCCACCCCCCGCGCCCCCCGGCCUCCCAAAGUGCUGAGAUUACAGGUGUGAGCCACCGCACCCUCCCAGGGUUGCUUUUCUGAGGCCUCUCUUCUUGGCUU